UACGAAGGGGGCUAGCGUUGUUCGGAAUUACUGGGCGUAAAGCGCACGCAGGCGGAUUGAUAAGUCAGGGGUGAAAUCCCGGGGCUCAACCUCGGAAUUGCCUUUGAUACUGUCUGUCUUCGAGUUCGGGAGAGGUUGGCGGAAUUCCUAGUGUAGAGGUGAAAUUCGUAGAUAUUAGGAAGAACACCAGUGGCGAAGGCGGCCAACUGGCCCGAAACUGACGCUCAUGUGCGAAAGCGUGGGGAGCAAACAGG
rnacentral:rRNA from 1 species